GAUGAACGCUGGCGGCGUGCCUAAUACAUGCAAGUCGAACGGAGAUUGUAGCAAUACGGUCUUAGUGGCGAACGGGUGAGUAACGCGUUGGUAACCUGCCCCGAAGCGUGGGAUAACGGUCCGAAAGGACCACUAAUACCACAUGUGAUCCCGAGGAAUAGAUACUUGGGAUGAAAGGAGCAAUUCGCUUCGGGAGGGACCUGCGUCCCAUCAGCUAGUUGGUAGGGUAACGGCCUACCAAGGCGAUGACGGGUAGGGGACCUGAGAGGGUGGCCCCCCACCAAUAGGAACGUGAAACAACGGUACCGACUAC
rnacentral:rRNA from 1 species